AGAGUUUGAUCCUGGCUCAGGAUGAACGCUGGCGGCGUGCCUAACACAUGCAAGUCGAGCGAGAAAUAAAGGAAUGAAGCUUCGGUAGAUUUUCUUUAUGGAAAGCGGCGGACGGGUGAGUAACGCGUAGGCAACCUGCCCUGUACAGGGGGAUAGCCACCCGAAAAGGUGAUUAAUACCCCAUAACGCAAGAGAUACACAUGUAUCACUUGUCAAAGAUUUAUCGGUAUAGGAUGGGCCUGCGUCUGAUUAGCUAGUUGGUAGGGUAACGGCUUACCAAGGCAACGAUCAGUAGCCGACCUGAGAGGGUGAUCGGCCACAUUGGAACUGAGACACGGUCCAAACUCCUACGGGAGGCAGCAGUGGGGAAUAUUGCACAAUGGGCGCAAGCCUGAUGCAGCAACGCCGCGUGAAGGAUGAAGGCCUUCGGGUUGUAAACUUCUGUCCUAGGGGAAGAAACAAAUGACAUUACCCUUGGAGGAAGCCCCGGCUAACUACGUGCCAGCAGCCGCGGUAAUACGUAGGGGGCGAGCGUUAUCCGGAAUUAUUGGGCGUAAAGAGUGCGUAGGUGGCACCUUAAGCGCAGGGUUUAAGGCAAUGGCUCAACCAUUGUUCGCCUUGCGAACUGGGGUGCUUGAGUGCAGGAGGGGAAAGUGGAAUUCCUAGUGUAGCGGUGAAAUGCGUAGAUAUUAGGAGGAACACCAGUGGCGAAGGCGACUUUCUGGACUGUUACUGACACUGAGGCACGAAAGCGUGGGGAGCAAACAGGAUUAGAUACCCUGGUAGUCCACGCCGUAAACGAUGAGCACUAGGU
rnacentral:rRNA from 1 species